rnacentral:misc_RNA from 1 species
UUACCAUAUUUAAAGAAAUCCAACGGUCUUGAUGCCGUUGUGAUAAUUAUUUGGAAUGGGGGAAGUCAUCCUCUUGGCCCACAAGUCCACAACCCUUAGUAGGCUAUCUCUGGUGCGAAAUUCGCUGCAUGGCAAUCAAGGUGGGUGUGCGGUUCAUCGAUAUUCAAUCCAGCAUUGGUAGCUCUCCUACCUUCCAACCACACACCUUUAUUAUAUCCGCCUAAAAUAGGCCCAAACCCAUCCCUUCUUUUGUAUUGCAAGUUCUCUGCUUUUGCUGGUUUCUGUACGAGAUCUCGUUCAAAAUUCUUAGUUCCUCCUUUGGUUCUCUCAGCUCCUGUUGUUCUCUCUCUGAAUCUUGAGCUGAAUCCUUUGGAGUUUUAAAGCGUUUGUUUGCUUGUCAUUUGGUGAAUUGGGUCUCGCUCAUUUCAUCUCGAAAAUGAAGGUAGCUGUAGUUUCACGCAGUGGUAGAGAGAUUGUCAAAGGAGGCCUUGAGCUUAAUGAUUCAGCUAUAGUGGCUGAUCUGCAGGAGGCAAUCUAUAAGCGAAGUAAGUGCUUCUCGUAUUUCAGUCUUUGAUCUUUGAUUUUGAGCCUUAUUUCAAUUACUGGAACUUUGAAGUUGGAUCUAAUUUGUAUAUCAUAUUAUGAUUAUCAAUUCAGUUUGGAGGGAAAAAGAGAAUUUUUCUGUUACAUGGAAUUUGGCAAGUUAUAGUAUAGAGAAUCCCACACAAAUAUUCCAUUGGCUAGAAUUUCUCUUUGUUUGAUCUCAUCUCCUAGAUGUUUCUGCUUGACUGUUUCUAGAUAAGCAUGAAACGCAAUAAAUUGUUUCACUUCUUUGUUCCUCUUAUUUGUAUUGUUCAUUAUUACCUUUUUUGUUAUUUCUUCUGUCUGCUUCAUGCUGGCCUUAGAGCAUUUAGUGUUGCUUCUUUGGCUCACAUAAAUCAUUUUAAUUUCUUGGCAAAUUUGAAUUUAGUAGCAGAAACAAGUAUAUAACUUGGCGGAACAUGUUCUUUCUUUUUUCUCAAUCAGUAGUCAGUAAAUUUUAUGCUUAUGAACGUAAGAAUUUUGUAUGAUUUUUGUAAAAGUUUCAUGAAAAAAUGCACAAGUAACAAAGCUUAAGUGGGGCUUAGUUAUCUGUAGACAUUUGUUUAUAUCACAGAGAUCAUGACGUUGUAAGUACCAAAAUGUCUUGGAAUUUUGUAUUUGAGUGUUUGAACUUUAUUUUUGUGCAAUUGAUUGCCUGAAUUAGAAGAAAAAAAAAAGUGCUUUUGCAUUGUCAUAGUGACUGGAAGUGCAAUGAAGUUAGUAAAUACAUGGCCUAUAUUAAUUUUAAAAAAGAAAGUGCCCUCAACUAACACCUUCAUGCAUGCUUAAGGUUAUAAGAUGAGAAAUUUCCAAAAAAUUCUUAGAAAGAGAAAGUGAGAGGUCAUAUUAUUUAAAAAAUUAAAUAUUCCAUGUGUCUAUUAACAUGGUAAGAAUUUUCUUAUUAUUGAAGCUGACAUGGUGUUUAACGGAGUUGAAUGGUGAAAAUGAUCCAUAUAGCCAACUCUAACUAGUUUGAGAUUAAGCCUUAGUUGUUGUUGUUUAAUCUAUUAUGCAUUUCUAGUUACCUAUAAAGUAUUAAGGCACUAUUGCAAAUUUGUUUUCUGUUCAGGUAGUUAACUGCAUAGAAAUAAAAUUCAUACACUCAAAUAGAAAACCCCAAAAAUUUGAGCCACGUAAAAUGUCUAUGGUUAUUGCAUCUUAAGAGAUUUUACUUUUGUUUUGAGUUUUAUUUGUUAUAUUUUGCUUGGUUGAUUCAAUUUUCAUUUUUUUUUUUGGGUUAAAUUGUCAUAUCAUGUUAAAAUUCAAUUUGAGUGGUUCCUUUUAUGUAAAAUUCUGAAAGAUGUUUGAUUUGAUGUAUCAUGCUGCUUAGUUUCUCUACUUCAUCAUUCUAGGCUUGCCGAUUCAGAUGUGAAUGUGCAAAUAAGUAUUUUCUAUUUGAAACCCUGUUUCCCAACUCAUCACGGAGUAUGCAUGUAAUGAUUGUUUAUGUAUGCAUUAGAUCAUAAGGUGUGAUUUUAUUUUAAUAACCUGAAUCACUGCAUACAUCAACAGCCAAAAAAUUCUACCCUUCAAGACAGCGACUGACCCUGCCUCUUCCACUGGGAUCAAAGGACAGGCCUAUUGUCCUUCAUUACAAGAAGAGUCUUAAGGAUUACUGUGAUGGGAAUUCGGACAACAUAACUGUAGUUUUCAAGGACCUGGGUCCACAAGUUUCUUACCGCACACUUUUUUUUCUGGGAGUACUUGGGUCCUUUGAUCAUAUAUCCUGUCUUCUACUUCUUCCCUGUGUACCAGUACUUUGGCUACAAGGGGGAGCGUGUCAUUCGCCCAGUUCAGACAUAUGCUUUAUACUAUUGGUGCUUCCACUACUUCAAACGUAUCAUGGAAACAUUUUUUGUGCAUCGAUUUAGUCAUGCAACUUCACCUCUGUCCAAUGUUUUCCGAAAUUGUGCUUAUUAUUGGACCUUUGGUUCCUACAUUGCCUACUAUGUGAACCACCCACUUUACACUCCUGUUAGUGAUCUUCAAAUGAAGAUUGGUUUUGGUUUUGGUUUGGUUUGUCAAGUUGCAAACUUUUAUUGCCACAUUUUGCUGAGAAAUCUUCGCACUCCAGAUGGGAGUGUAGGUUACCAAAUUCCACGUGGUUUUCUCUUCAAUAUCGUGACAUGUGCAAAUUACACAACAGAGAUUUAUCAGUGGUUGGGUUUCAAUAUUGCAACACAGACUGUUGCAGGCUAUGCCUUUUUAGUGGUUGCUGCUAUGAUCAUGACUAAUUGGGCCCUUGCAAAGCACAGGCGAUUGAAGAAGGUAACCUUCUAUAAAUUUUGGGCUAGUUUACAUUAUUGUUUUCUACAUAAAAAAGGAUGGAAGUUUGAAUCUUGCUUUAAAUAGCAAGCCUGAAUUUAUCUUGGUAUUUUGAAGUUUGAUUUGUAAACCAUAUGUAGCAUUAAUGUCCUAUUUGGUUGCCUUAGUCCUUAGGCAAUACCGGUAUAACAUGAGAUGUUGCAUCUAAUUUUUCUUCUUAAUGUGUUCAUUAAUUUCCUGUUUUUCUUUUUUUCAAAUCCAGUCUGUGAUCAUAAUGUUUCCUUCUUUUUCCCUCUUAUGAUUACAAUUCCUGCACAAUUAUCCAAGGAAAAUGAGGGUGCCAAAUAGCAGAUGGUACAUCUAGAUUAGGUGGGAGUAAAUUAAUAUGUGAACAUUGCUAGAAAUGAGAAACAUUCACCUAUUUUCUACUUCCUUGGACUUGAGAAUAUCUUGGCGUGUAUCUGCCAUGGUUAAUAAAAUUUUUUUCUUUCAACUGGAGCUGAAAAAGUAAUCUCAAAGUAUAAAGUGGGAGCCUUUCCCUUCAUUCAUAUUUUUUCUGUUGCUUUAACGUUCCUUAACAUCUAUUUGUCUUCUGCAGCUAUUUGAUGGGAAGGAUGGAAGACCUAAAUAUCCACGUCGAUGGGUCAUCCUGCCUCUGUUCCUGUAGAAUUGACCUGCAAUUCUGCUACUUAUUCAAUGCUUUAGUGCUUGGUUUUGGCAACAUAAUGAAUUUCAGAUUGUGGUUCAUUCUUCUCAGAUACUAGGUGGAGCUCACGCUUUCACCAAAUUGCUUGAAGAUAAAAGAUCUUAGUCUCUUUGAUUUAGACAGGAAUCUAGAGGAUAAUCUUGUCAAAUAUUUUCUUUUAUUAAAACUUUCUCCAGUCUGUUAAAUUAUAUGGGGAUUUUCUCCAGUCUUGUUGGCUUAACUAAUUUGUUGAAUCGUGACUUCUUGACGAUCAUCAUUAUUUCUUGGUUUCUUUCUUAUGCUUUCUUAGAAUUUAUCAUGGGGUUGAUCUUCAACUUGCAAAUUAGCUAACUUUUAGUUGAUAAUUGAUACGACAAAAAUUGACCAUUGCAACAUUCCUCAUCAUGAAACAGAAACUGCUGGCCAGUUCUUAGUUCACACUGAACUUUGCUUCUUGUCUGCCAAGUUUAGAACGAAAGUUUGAGAGAAAAGCAUGAAUGCAGGGUAUUUGCCAUGAGCCCAUGACCUUGAAGGCUUCAUCUUCUACCUUUUAUUUUAUGGCUAUUGAGGCUAUGUUGCUGGUAGAGAACUGCAAUGUUUGUCAACUGAUGAAUGAAAAGCUGAGUUACAGUGCACAGGUUGUGGGUAAAUCUUUAGAAUCAAGAAGCUGAGAUUUUUUAUGCAGAGAUGGGAUGAGCUUUGUGUGUGCAAAGAGAAUUUUUUGAUUAUUUUGUAUGAUAAAGAAUUCCAUUUGCACAUAGUUAUUCUUUUUAAAAAUUUCACAUAAACAUAAAUCAUAGUGCUAAAGCCAUACAUGUGAUCUGCAAAAGCACUUUUGCCCUGACAUCAAAG